rnacentral:lncRNA from 1 species
UUAUGGAAUUAUUACUGCCUAGAUAUAUAUUGCAAUCUGUUUACACUUAUUCUACUUUUUUGUUUUUACAUAAUUUUAUUUAUAUUUAAUUUACUAAAUAAUUACUAAUAGAUAAAGAAGUAUGUGCAGGAUUUAAUUUAACGACUACAGAGGACUCCAAAAAAGAAUUAAAGUUCUGGUGGAUCAAAGAUCGAGGAAUUAUUUGGUUUUAACUGGUUUGCAUCUUAUGAACGCAGUACAUAAUAUAAUUUAAAUUAAUGAUUUAUAGUUACACCUAUUGAAACUCUGUAUCUCAAUGAUAUUCUGGCUUAUUGAUACGAUAUCCUGUAAAUACACUCACACACAUAAAUUUUACUCACACACAUAAAUCCUGUAAAUUCACUCACACACAUAAAUCUU